UAGGUGUGAUGGCGGGAGCCUUACUGAAUUAAUUUAUUUACUCCACACAUAUUUAUUGAGCACUUACAAGUGCUAGGCUGUUCUAAGUACCAGGUACAUGACACUGAGUGAAACAGAUAAGGGCAUGGCCCUCAUGGUGCUCAUUCUGUUUGGAGAAAACGGACAGUAUAUAGUGUGCACACACUGAAGUUUGGGAUGACCCUUCCCUCCUUACUGAAGGGGAACCAGGACAGUCGCUCUCCCACUGAAAGAGAAACAGCCUUCGACUGGAGGCCACUGAAAGACGAUGAGCACGUCAUGAUUGCUGGUUGUAACGAUACAUAGUGACUGAUGGUAAGAAAGGAAAGAAGGACAAGGAGAAGAAGAGGAGAGAAGAAAACAGUUGGGAUUUGUAACUUGGAAGAGGUCCCUCACCAAAACGCAGGCAUGUUGUCUCAGUCAUCUCAGACUGCCUGCCUCUAAGACCAUGAGAAGUAAAAUCCUGUUGUUUAUAAGCAUCCAGUGUGUGGUAUUUUGUUAUAGAACUCAAAUGGACUAACCCAGAGCUACGGUCUCAAUUCUGCUUCUCGGGCUCGUUCAUUUCAUUUCCCUGAAUACUAUUUUCUCAUCUGGUUUGCUCAGGGAGCAGAGCAGAUAUUCCAGUCCUGCGAGUCUGGUACCUUCUCACAGAGGAGCAGAGGAGUGCGUGCUGCUGCACAAUGAACGUCAGUAUUCCUGAUUCCAUAUGUCCCCAGUGGGCACCAGCCAAAUCUCCAAGUCAUUGCUUCCACACCCAUAGGAGGUUGGAUCUUACUCUUCAUUGGAUCUUUGCAUUCCCCCUAAGACAUGCAGCCUGGAUGCUCACUAACAGCACCCAGGAAAGGAAGAGGAUGGCAUCUCUGAGUGUUGACACUAGCCAGGCACUAAUGUGGGGGAAAUUCCCAUCAUCCUCUCAUUUUACAGAUGAAGAAACUAGAGUUCUGAGGAAAGGAGCGGAUUGCCCAAGGUCAUCAGAGCAACUCAGUGUCCAGACUUGUGUCCAGGCUGCUGCGGAAGCCACACGCUCCUCUGUCAUCCACUGCUGCCUUGCGUCCUCUGUCCCACUCUUCACACGGGGACUGUCUGUCAGUGGGUCUUUCUCAGCUCAAUGGACAAAUCAGCAACCUAGACUCUGAAACUGAGUGCCUAAAAAAGGCAGCAUAAGUAAUUUCUAGCUAAGUCUCCUUUGUUUAUCCGACAAGUACUUCUCACAUAAGGAACCAUGUCAUCCCAGCAUGGAUCUCAACAGCUAUGUGGCGUGGAGAAUUUGAAUGUGUCCUGUACCAGAAAGAGGCAUGAGUGCCCUUCUAAGCUUUCAAUCAGCCUGACAUAUGUGAUGAGCUCUCCGUAUCAGCUUGCCCUUCAGCUUCAGGUCUGGAAAAGGUGCUUAGCUAUACCCAUCCAGGUCCUGGAGGCUGAAAGAAAGAGUACCAACCCCUCCCCCUUCACGAGUGUCCUCCUAAUAGUCUCUACAUUUAAUCAGGACAGAGAGCAAGGACUUUAAAGCCAGCCUCUGAAGCUAUCAGGGCAACAUUGAUUAAGAUCAUUUGUAAAAGCUUAAGGCAGAAAAGAAAUUAAGAUUCCAUUUAUUUUAAUGCACUAGAAAAAGAAGCAUUGGGGACAAGUAGAGGACAAUCUGCUUAUUGUCAUGCUAAGAUCACAAGCAUGCAUAUGUAACAGGUCAUCAGGAAUUGAGUUCUGCCUAUUUUUCCUUCUUUUUAAAGAAAUUUUUGACUUAGGGC